UCUGGGCCAGGGCCCUGGCCGGGGCGGGGGUGGAAAGCUGCGGGCUGGCAGGGCAUGGCGUCCAUGGCGGCGGCGAUUGCGGCCUCGCGCACGGCCGUCAUGAGCGCGAACCGGCCUCUGGACGACCGGGAGCGGAAGCGCUUCACCUACUUCUCGUCGCUAAGCCCCAUGGCUCGGAAGAUCAUGCAGGACAAGGAGAAGAUCCGGGAGAAGUACGGGCCCGAGUGGGCGCGGCUGCCGCCGGCUCAGCAGGACGAGAUCAUCGACCGGUGCCUGGUGGGGCCGAGCGCCCCGGCGCCCGGUGACCCCGAGGAGCUCGGGCGCUUCCCCGGCUUGCGCGGGCCCACGGGCCAGAAGGUGGUGCGCUUCGGGGACGAGGUAGGUGCGGACGGGCCGGCGGCCCCUCCACCCUUCUCCGGCUACGCGAUGCGCCCGCGGCCGGGCAGACACCUGCCGGCUAGCAGCCCUCCCUUUCAGACGCGCGGGCAGGGGCUGGAGAGAAGGCGCAGGAACCCGGGUGGGUGGAAGGGGCGGCCUGGAGCCGGAGGUCGGGGCCUGGGGGGCUCCCCGGGGGAGUCUGUGGAGAACCGCCGAGAGAAGGAAGGAGGUCAUUCAAGACCCUCCAUCUAG